rnacentral:rRNA from 1 species
UACGUAGGGGGGCAAGCGUUGUCCGGAUUUAUUGGGCGUAAAGCGCGUGUAGGCGGCCAGGUAGGUCGGUUGUGAAAAUUGGAGGCUCAACCUCCAGACGCGAUCGAAACCAUCUGGCUAGAGUCCGGAAGAGGAGAAUGGAAUUCCUGGUGUAGCGGGUGAAAUGCGCAGAUAUCAGGAGGAAUACCAGCGGCGAAGGCGGGCGCUCUGGGCCGGGUACUGACGCUGAGGGAGCGAAAAGCGUGGGGGAGCGAACAGG